rnacentral:rRNA from 1 species
CCUACGGGAGGCAGCAGUGAGGAAUAUUGGUCAAUGGCCGGAAGGCUGAACCAGCCAUGCCGCGUGAAGGUCAGUGCCCUAUGGGCGUUAAACUUCUUUUGUGCGGGAGCAAUAGUGGUCACGUGUGGCCAGACGAGAGUACCGUACGAAUAAGCAUCGGCUAACUCCGUGCCAGCAGCCGCGGUAAUACGGGGGGUGCAAGCGUUAUCCGGAUUUAGUGGGUUGAAAGGGUGCGUAGGCUGGGAGGUAAGUCAGCGGUGAAAUGCCCCCGCUCAACGGGGUGAAGUGCCAUUGAUACUGCCUGGCUGGAAUGCGGAUGACGUGGGAGGAAUGUGUGGUGUAGCGGUGAAAUGCAUAGAUAUCACACAGAACACCGAUUGCGAAGGCAUCUCACGAAUACGCGAUUGACGCUGAUGCACGAAAGCGUGGGUAUCAAACAGGAUUAGAUACCCGUGUAGUC